GCACAAAUGAUGAAAUAUACUCGGAUUCCCCUUCAGGACUGUAUGGGUGAUGCAAACUCGAGAUUCUGAUGUG